UGCAGUCGAGCGGGAUUCUAUUUUUUCAAUUCUUCGGAAGAGAAGUUAUAGAUGAGAGCGGCGAACGGGUUAGUAAUAAAUGGGUAAUUUGCCUCUUUGUUCGGAAUAGCCACCGGAAACGGUGAUUAAUGCCGGAUGUGUUCGGGAACUGCAUAGUUCCUUAUAUAAAGGCGGGGAUUCUUCGGAACCUGUCGCAAAGAGAUAAGCCCAUUUCCUAUCAGCUUGUUGGUGAGGUAAUGGCUCACCAAGGCUUACGGGUAGUUGGUCUGAGAGGAUGAUCAGCAACACUGGGACUGAGACACUGCCCAGACUCCUACGGGAGGCUGCAGUCGAGAAUCAUUGUCAAUGCACGAAAGUGUGAACAUGCGACGCCGCGUGGAGGAAGACGGCCUUUGGGUUGUAAACUCCUGUCAGCAGGGAGUAAGGAUGGUUUAUUUAAUACAUAUGCCAUUUGAUAGUACCUGCAGAGGAAGUCACGGCUAACUCUGUGCCAGCAGCCGCGGUAAUACAGAGGUGGCGAACGUUGUUCGGAUUUACUGGGCGUAAAGGGUCCGCAGGCGGUUUGGUGUGUCGGAUGUGAAAGCUCACAGCUCAACUGUGGAAUUGCAUUCGAAACUGCCAAACUAGAGUACUGGAGGGGAGAAGGGAACACUUGGUGUAGCGGUGAAAUGCGUAGAUAUCAAGUGGAACACCGGUGGCGAAGGCGCUUCUCUGGACAGAUACUGACGCUCAUGGACGAAAGUUAGGGUAGCGAAAGGGAUUAGAUACCCCUGUAGUCCUAACCGUAAACGGUGUGCGCUAGGCGUGGGUGGCUUUACCCC
rnacentral:rRNA from 1 species